CUCUCUCUUUUUUUUUGCUCUGUAUUUAACCUCUCUUCAUCUUUUGUCCCUCUCUGUCCCCCUCUUUCCCUCUCUCGUUCUUCAGGCCAAACGCCUCGUCAUUUGGAGUCCCUGGUGACUCAGCACAGGUCUCUCUCCCUGGUCUCUCUCCCUGGUGACUCAGCACAGGUCUCUCUCCCUGGUCUCUAGUCUUCAUGUGUCCUCUCUCUACCAGCCACUUAGUGCCGUUUGUUGUCCCUCUUUUCUCUUUUUUCUCUUUCUUUUUUUGCUUCAAAACACAGCGGUGAGCGCCGAGCGAAUGUGUGUGUGCGUUAAUCCGUAGUGUUUGUUUGUCCUCCUCUCCUUUUUUCCUCUUCUGUCUCUUAUUUGGUCUUCAAAACACCACGGCAAAGGCUAAUUGGCCUGAGCACACACACACACACACACACACACACACACACACUCAACAACAUCCUCCAGUUCAGUCUGUUUGCAGCACUGGUGGCUAUUAGCAUAUUUGUGACGUCUGAACAGUCUGAUCAGUUCGCUUCAGCUGACUGCUUGCUUGCCACAGACCCAGUCAAUUGGUGGACAGUAUGUAUGUGUGUGUGUGUGUGUG
ensembl:lncRNA